CGCCUAGAAAACAGCACCUACCUACCCAAAGCAAAAGAGAUAAAAUCAACAGCUUUUUAAUGGAAUAAAACAUUCUCUUUAAGAAAACAUUUCCAUCUCCCCUGAACCCAUCCCCAAAUUCCCUCGACGGUUGCCAUUUCCCAGUUGUUCCAUCAUCUCAGAUCAUUGGUUGUCUUCCUUUGCCGCUUCCAUCACAGACGUGGGCAUUCUCUCCAUCAAAUAAGUGUUUCUUUAUCACAUUGAUACUAUCCUCUUCAACCACCACUUUCCGAAAUCCUAGAUCCAGACCCAUUUGGAUUCCUUGAAGGCACCUAAUCGCUUCUGCCGCAAAAGAGGAUUUGUACGAACAACCUAGAAAAGAUGCAUCGAAGUUUAUCUUCACAAAAGACGUUUCUGGUGGCCGCAUCUCUCUGGUUGGGUACGUCUGACAGGUGACGAACUUUUACCUCUUCAAGUUCCUGUAAGAAUGAUCUGAUAAAAUGCACCUUUUCUGUAUUCUAUCGAUAUUUUCUUUCAUGCACCUGUUUGUUUCUGUCUCCCAGAUCGCCCAAAUUGCACAUAUUGUUAUCCUGCAUAUAUUUGUAGAAUAUUCUAUGAACAACCAAUCCAUCCACUGUCUAUAACACUCAUUUGAAUUGUUUGUAGGCCAUUUGACAUUUAACAUGCUCCAUAUUUACUUGACAGCUUGACAAUCACGAAAAACAUGUUCUAGGUACUCUUCUCCAUUAGAGCAUCUAGGACAUGCUGCCGAGCUCCUCAAUCUUCUUUUUUGUAGAUUGUUGUAAGUAGGAAUGAAGUUUUUGUAAACUGUCCAGAAUGUAGUUUUUAUUUUUUCGGUAGCUCUGUCUGCCAUAGUUUCUUGUACACUUGCUUGGAUGAAAUUUGGUAGAGAUUAGGCACCAAAUUUGUAGAUUCUUAUAGUAGCACCAAUCUUAAAUUUUGACCCAUUACAUUUCUUUGAA